AGGCUUGAAGCAAAGGAGUGUUGUAAACAAAAUUAAAUAAAAGCACUAUCUUUCCAUUUAACUUGUAUAAUUAAUGUUUCCUAAUUCCAACAGCAUUGUUAAACUCCAUACGCAUUUCACCUCUGAAAGAUCUUCAAAUCCAACAAGUUACGCCUGAAGGAAACAAAAAAAGGUCAGUGGUCUGCAUAAAACCAUGCAUAUAGAAUUACCA